UACGUAGGGGGCAAGCGUUGUCCGGAUUUAUUGGGCGUAAAGAGCGUGUAGGCGGUUUGGUAGGUCCGUUGUGAAAACUCGAGGCUCAACCUCGAGACGCCGGCGGAAACCAUCAGGCUAGAGUCCGGAAGAGGGGAGUGGAAUUCCUGGUGUAGCGGUGAAAUGCGUAGAGAUCAGGAGGAACACCCGUGGCGAAGGCGGCUCCCUGGUCCGUCCCUGACGCUGAGACGCGAAAGCGCGGGGAGCGAACGGG
rnacentral:rRNA from 1 species